rnacentral:lncRNA from 1 species
CUGAGUGCCUCUGAAAGGCACUGCAGGCUAAGCCAGCACACUCCUGCUUCCCAAUGAAGAAAAAAAACCUGCUGCCUUAAACGUCAUAGAAUGUCAGUUAAUGUGUUUGUUUCUGUUGUUAGGGAAAGAGAGGUACUGUUUUAAAGUACCAGUACAGUGACAAAAUAGUGGAUACACUCUGCUUAACAUGAAGUACUUUCCUUUACAACCUAAGUAUCAUACAGGGCUGUGCUAUGGUUGUGCUCCAGCUACAAAAACUGAUGGAUGAAGGAGUGCAUGGCCCCACCAUUCAGAUCAUCUCUGUGUGUCUUCCACAGGGAUGCCAAACCUCCUUCACUUGAGACUUAGUAAGACAACCUCAUCCCAUUCCCGAUUCUCAAUCCCAGCUAUAACUUUUCUCCUUGAAACAGUCAUCCCUUUCCAAAAUUAAGGGCAGAAAUAUGGGUCACAUUUUCUCUUUUCUCUUCUUAGUUCCUUCAGAAGGAGAAAGCAGAGCCCAUUUGUGAGAUCCUGCUAUCACAAAUCCCAAAGUUUGGCCCAAGAUAGAAACCUUUAGAGCUUAUUUGUGAGUGUGGUGCUGUUUCCAGAACAUUAAUGUCUCCACUGUGAGUCUAAAAGGAGAGUGCACUUUGAUUCAUCACUCUGAAACACUUCAAGAUGAUACAGCUAUACUUUCAAUCUCAGCAGGAGAGAAGAGGACACACCUGGAGCAGCCAAUCUGACCUUGGAAAUGGAGACCCUCUACCACUGCAGGCACAGUAGAGACCAUUCUGCACAGUUAAGGGUAGCAGGUGCUCCUUGGGUGUUUAUGAGCACAAUCUUAAAGGAUGUUAAGAUGCAGCCUGAUAGAAUAGCAGUGAAGACACGACAACAUCUUUAUUAAUUAAAGCAUUAACUUCUGCACUCCAUUUUUCCUUCAGUGGACACAGAAAGAACAAAAAAAAUGUAGUCUGAAAGAAAGCAAAAGGAUGAUUACAUUCUCACAGUAAGGAGAUAAAGGAGGGGAGCAAAUUGGAUAUGAACCGUAUUCAUCAGAGGAUAUGAAAGGGAGUAGCUGAAUUCAAGAACACUGCAAUGCAAAAAGAACAUUUCCUCAAGAAGGAAAACUAUCUGUCCAGCAGAAUUCCUAAAAUAUUACUGCAAUCCCACAGCUUUGUCCAAAAACUCAGUAAAUAAAACUUCUGUCUGAAACUUUUCCCA